rnacentral:rRNA from 1 species
UACGAAGGGGGCUAGCGUUGCUCGGAAUCACUGGGCGUAAAGGGCGCGUAGGCGGGCUCUUAAGUCAGAGGUGAAGCCCAAGGCUCGACCUUGGAAUUGCCUUUGAUACUGAGGGCCUUGAGACCGGAAGAGGUCGGCGGAACUGCGAGUGUAGAGGUGAAAUUCGUAGAUAUUCGCAAGAACACCAGUGGCGAAGGCGGCCGACUGGUCCGGUUCUGACGCUGAGGCGCGAAAGCGUGGGGAGCAAACAGG